rnacentral:rRNA from 1 species
AGUGAACGCUGGCGGUAGGCCUAACACAUGCAAGUCGAACGGCAGCACAGUAAGAGCUUGCUCUUAUGGGUGGCGAGUGGCGGACGGGUGAGGAAUACAUCGGAAUCUACUUUUUCGUGGGGGAUAACGUAGGGAAACUUACGCUAAUACCGCAUACGACCUACGGGUGAAGGCAGGGGAUCUUCGGACCUUGCGCGAUUGAAUGAGCCGAUGUCGGAUUAGCUAGUUGGCGGGGUAAAGGCCCACCAAGGCGACGAUCCGUAGCUGGUCUGAGAGGAUGAUCAGCCACACUGGAACUGAGACACGGUCCAGACUCCUACGGGAGGCAGCAGUGGGGAACAUUGGACAAUGGGCGCAAGCCUGAUCCAGCCAUACCGCGUGGGUGAAGAAGGCCUUCGGGUUGUAAAGCCCUUUUGUUGGGAAAGAAAAGCAGCAGGUUAAUACCCCGCUGUUCUGACGGUACCCAAAGAAUAAGCACCGGCUAACUUCGUG